rnacentral:rRNA from 1 species
UACGGGGGGAGCAAGCGUUGUUCGGAUUUACUGGGCGUAAAGGGCGCGUAGGCGGCCUGUGCAAGUCAGUUGUGAGAUCUCCGAGCUUAACUCGGAACGGUCAACUGAUACUGCUCGGCUAGAGUGCGGAAGGGGCAACUGGAAUUCUUGGUGUAGCGGUGAAAUGCGUAGAUAUCAAGAGGAACACCUGCGGCGAAGGCGGGUUGCUGGGCCGACACUGACGCUGAGGCGCGAAAGCUAGGGGAGCGAACGGG